CAGCAGCCGCGGUAAUACGAAGGGGGCUAGCGUUGCUCGGAAUCACUGGGCGUAAAGGGUGCGUAGGCGGGUCUUUAAGUCAGGGGUGAAAUCCUGGAGCUCAACUCCAGAACUGCCUUUGAUACUGAAGAUCUUGAGUUCGGGAGAGGUGAGUGGAACUGCGAGUGUAGAGGUGAAAUUCGUAGAUAUUCGCAAGAACACCAGUGGCGAAGGCGGCUCACUGGCCCGAUACUGACGCUGAGGCACGAAAGCUAGGGGAGCAAAUGGGAUUAGAGACCCGGGUAGUCCCUGUCUCUUAUAC
rnacentral:rRNA from 1 species